rnacentral:rRNA from 1 species
AUGAACGCUGGCGGCGUGCCUAAUACAUGCCGGUCGAGCGAACGGACGAGAAGCUUGCUUCUCUGAUGUUAGCGGCGGACGGGUGAGUAACACGUGGAUAACCUACCUAUAAGACUGGGAUAACUUCGGGAAACCGGAGCUAAUACCGGAUGAUAUUUUGAACCGCAUGGUUCAAAAGUGAAAGACGGUCUUGCUGUCACUUAUAGAUGGAUCCGCGCUGCAUUAGCUAGUUGGUAAGGUAACGGCUUACCAAGGCAACGAUGCAUAGCCGACCUGAGAGGGUGAUCGGCCACACUGGAACUGAGACACGGUCCAGACUCCUACGGGAGGCAGCAGUAGGGAAUCUUCCGCAAUGGGCGAAAGCCUGACGGAGCAACGCCGCGUGAGUGAUGAAGGUCUUCGGAUCGUAAAACUCUGUUAUUAGGGAAGAACAUAUGUGUAAGUAACUGUGCACAUCUUGACGGUACCUAAUCAGAAAGCCACGGCUAACUACGUG